UACACACCGCCCGUCAAGCCAUGGGAGUUGUCGGCACCCGAAAUCAUUUUAGCUAACCUUAAACGGAGGCGGAUGAUGAAGGUGAAGGGGAUGACUGGGGCU
rnacentral:rRNA from 1 species